CUUCACACUGCAUAUGUAUAUCAUUUUUAAAAAUAUUUCUCCACUUUGUUCACUUUUGUAAGCAUGUAUACACUUUUGACACCACGCAGAUCAUAUAUUAUAUUACUUAUGCAAAUUCACACACACACAUUUGCUACUAUACUCCAUUUCCACUUGCUUUGUGUACUUCAUUGAGACAUUUACAUGCUUUCUUAGGGUGUACCAGCCUAGAGGCAGAAAGUCAAGGUGAGAAGUGGGAGCGG